AUUGAACGCUGGCGGCAGGCCUAACACAUGCAAGUCGAGCGGCAGCGGGACCUUCGGGUUGCCGGCGAGCGGCGGACGGGUGAGUAAUGCCUAGGAAUCUGCCUGUUAGUGGGGGAUAACGCGGGGAAACUCGCGCUAAUACCGCAUACGUACUACGGGAGAAAGCGGGGGCUCUUCGGACUUCGCGCUAACAGAUGAGCCUGGGUCGGAUUAGCUAGUUGGCGGGGUAAUGGCCCAACAAGGCGACGAUCCGUAACUGGUCUGAGCGGAUGAUCAGUCACACUGGAACUGAGACACGGUCCAGAUUCCUACGGGAGGCAGCAGUGGGGAAUAUUGGACAAUGGGCGAAAGCCUGAUCCAGCCAUGCCGCGUGUGUGAAGAAGGUCUUCGGAUUGUAAAGCACUUUAAGUCGGGAGGAAGGGCUGUAGGCUAAUACCUUGCAGUUUUGACGUUACCGACAGAAUAAGCACCGGCUAACUUCGUGCCAGCCGCCGCGGUAA
rnacentral:rRNA from 1 species